rnacentral:rRNA from 1 species
CGCUGGCGGCAGGCCUAACACAUGCAAGUCGAGCGGUAGCACAGAGAGCUUGCUCUCGGGUGACGAGCGGCGGACGGGUGAGUAAUGUCUGGGAAACUGCCUGAUGGAGGGGGAUAACUACUGGAAACGGUAGCUAAUACCGCAUAAUGUCGCAAGACCAAAGUGGGGGACCUUCGGGCCUCAUGCCAUCAGAUGUGCCCAGAUGGGAUUAGCUAGUAGGUGGGGUAACGGCUCACCUAGGCGACGAUCCCUAGCUGGUCUGAGAGGAUGACCAGCCACACUGGAACUGAGACACGGUCCAGACUCCUACGGGAGGCAGCAGUGGGGAAUAUUGCACAAUGGGCGCAAGCCUGAUGCAGCCAUGCCGCGUGUAUGAAGAAGGCCUUCGGGUUGUAAAGUACUUUCAGCGGGGAGGAAGGCGAUAAGGUUAAUAACCUUGUCGAUUGACGUUACCCGCAGAAGAAGCACCGGCUAACUCCGUGCCAGCAGCCGCGGUAAUACGGAGGGUGCAAGCGUUAAUCGGAAUUACUGGGCGUAAAGCGCACGCAGGCGGUCUGUCAAGUCGGAUGUGAAAUCCCCGGGCUCAACCUGGGAACUGCAUUCGAAACUGGCAGGCUAGAGUCUUGUAGAGGGGGGUAGAAUUCCAGGUGUAGCGGUGAAAUGCGUAGAGAUCUGGAGGAAUACCGGUGGCGAAGGCGGCCCCCUGGACAAAGACUGACGCUCAGGUGCGAAAGCGUGGGGAGCAAACAGGAUUAGAUACCCUGGUAGUCCACGCCGUAAACGAUGUCGAUUUGGAGGUUGUGCCCUUGAGGCGUGGCUUCCGGAGCUAACGCGUUAAAUCGACCGCCUGGGGAGUACGGCCGCAAGGUUAAAACUCAAAUGAAUUGACGGGGGCCCGCACAAGCGGUGGAGCAUGUGGUUUAAUUCGAUGCAACGCGAAGAACCUUACCUGGUCUUGACAUCCACAGAACUUGCCAGAGAUGGCUUGGUGCCUUCGGGAACUGUGAGACAGGUGCUGCAU